UCUAAUAUGGCAGAAAAAUGCAAUAGAUUUAAGCUCUAUUAAUAAAAGAUUAAUCUUUUUUUUAGAA
rnacentral:tRNA from 1 species